rnacentral:ncRNA from 1 species
UGCAUGGCUGUCGUCAGCUCGUGCCGUAAGGUAUUGGGUUAAGUCCCGCAACAAGCACAACCCUCGUGUUUAGUUGCCACGUUGAGUUUGGAACCCUGAACAGACGGAGACUAGCUAAAGGAGACUAGCUAAGAGACUAGCCAAUAUG